rnacentral:rRNA from 1 species
UACGUAGGUGGCAAGCGUUGUUCGGAAUUAUUGGGCGUAAAGGGCGCGUAGGCGGCCUGUUAAGUCAGCUGUGAAAGCCCGGGGCUCAACCCCGGAGGGUCAUUGGAAACUGGGGGACUUGAGUGCAGAAGAGGAAAGCGGAAUUCCACGUGUAGCGGUGAAAUGCGUAGAGAUGUGGAGGAACACCAGUGGCGAAGGCGGCUUUCUGGUCUGUAACUGACGCUGAGGCGCGAAAGCGUGGGGAGCAAACAGG